UUUCUGUCCCUUGUUAAUAUUUACUGUGUGUGUAGGUUACAAUCUGAGCCCCAACGCUCUGAACAUGAUAAUGAAGCGCUACAGUGUCAACGGAAGAAUCCCCUUUGAUGAUUUUGUGAGCUGUUGCGUUCGACUCCGCGGGUUGACUGAUCAUUUCCAACGCCGUGACACAUCUCGAAAUGGCACCGCCAACUUCCAUUAUGACGAUGUAAGUGCGCCGUUUUACCGUUUGAACCUGGGCCGGAUUUACAUUGCAGGCUUCAAGUGACACAUUGGAAAACACCCGCUGAAAAUGUCAACUACAGCAACAUCAUGAGAAAAUGUGCUAGAGCGGGGGAUUUUGAGCCUUUAAAAUUGUUUCAAUAUUGUAGAUUUCGAUAGUGUAGACUCGAUGAUGUAAAUGUGCUC